UUCUCAUUCAGCAUGUAGGGGUUAGUCAUUCUCAACAAAUCUUUUCAUUGCCUCUAUAAAUUCAGGUAAAGAACUCCUGAAAGCGCCUGGAGAUGCCCCAAACUGUCCCACGUGCUGAGGGCAAAUUUUGGAUACACGGUCCUUCUUGUCAAACGCUUGCCUGACAACGCUCACAGCUGUCUGCUGUGACGCCCUUCACAAAGCCAGUGUGAACCUACCACUGAAGGAGCAGGCCUACCUUAGACUGGCCAAGGGAGGAGGCAGAGAUUUUUCUGAAGUAGUUUGAGGCCAACUUUUGGACGAGGACAGAAGGGGAACUGAGUUUACUUCGUCUGGUGUUAACUGGUAACUGAAACUGAAACCCAAGUUACCAGGCCAAGUACCUGGGCCAAUGACUAAAAACCAGAUUGGAGAACUCGGGUUGUGACCAGGAGGAAAAGAUGUCAAGACAGGAGGAUCUGAUGCUGAGAGCUGGUUCCCUCGUGGGGAGGAAGUGGGAAGGGAGCACAGAGGACACCGAGGAGCAGGGAGGGAAAGGGUGAAGGCCAUCAGCGCGCGCUCUUCAGUGCUCAGCCCUCUGAAUAGCCCUGAGGGGGCUGGCGAGAGGCCUAUUUCCAGCAGCCCCUCACGCCCACGCAGGCUUCCUGCUCCGGCAAAGAAGAGGGGAGGAUCGAUUUUACCGAAGGAAACACUUGGUUCUCACAGACUGGGGAAGUACACCCUACUUCUCUUAAGUCAUCUCUAUUUUGUUUUCCUCGGGACAGUGUAUGAAUCCCAGGAAGCUACAGUGGGCCCUGAGGAAGCCAGUUUGAGGCACUGAGCAUGCCCAGAGGUAAGUGUGUGCCUAGUGUGCACCAGGCCCAGGGUUCAAUCCCCAGUACCUCCAUUAAAGGUAAGUAAAUAAAAAUUAAAAGUAUGAAAAAAAUAAAGCAUUGAGUCUGUUAAAGAGAGAAAAAUCUUCCAACAAGAAGAAGAGCAAGUGUUUGGUGGUAAGGUGUGUGCUCUGCUGUACAGAUGUGGCCAUGUAGGUAAGCUUAUCUCUGGUAAUAAUUCUUUUCUGGGGAAAAUCUCCGGUCUAAAUUCUUCUGGGUAGCUGAGGGAGGGGCAGUGGUUCCUCCUGAGCCAGCAGGGUCUUGACUGCCUUCAGCUCAGAAUAAUCCUCACAUAAAAGUGACACAUUCGGGGGAGGCUUAUUCUGAACCCCUACGAGUCUGCGUAGAUUCCAGAUUCCAGGAGAGAGCAAAGUCCAUCAGUGAAUCUGAAGCCAAAUACACCCCCCAGCUUUUACGCACAGAGUGUCUUCAUGUAACCAGGAGAGAGACCGUGUUGGCUGGAAGUAAAAACAUACCUCACGGAGGAAGUCCUUGAGCAGGUAAGACUUUAGAAUUGCUUUUGUGAAAUCUUCUGCAAAAAUAAAUAAAUAAAUAAAUAAAAACAAAACAAAAAAAUCCUGUCUUAAAACUGAUCCAUAUUAAUGCAAUUCCUAUCUAAAUCUAAGCAAGCUUCCUUGCAGGCCUAGACAAGCCUCUUCUCAAAUGUACACAGGAAGGGAAGGGCCUGGAGUGGCCAAAACGAUUUUGAAAAACAAAACUGAAACAGGAGAAUCACUCAUCGCAACGCUGAGGUGCGAUAUUUAACUGCAGCACUGAGACAACGUAGUAUUUACUGGUGGAAGGAAUAGCGAGCCCAGAUACAGAUCUGCCCAAAUGUGCCCAAUUACCAUUUUUGACAAAAGAGGACAAGCGAUCCAGUGGGGGAGAAGUAGCCUUCUCAAUAAACGGGGCUGGAGCGGUUGGACAUAAGCCUCACGCCUUGUACAGAAUUAAUUCAAAAUGGGUCACGGGCUCAGAGUAAACACAAAACCACAAAACUUCUAGAAAAGAACCGAGGAGAAUGUCUUUUUGACCUAGGACUAGGCAGAAUUUUUGGACUUGACACCAAAGCAUGACCUAUAACAGGAAAAAUGUAUACAUUGGACCAAAUCAAAAUUUAAACCUUCUUUUACAAACUCUGUGAAGGACCUUGUAAGAAGAAUGAAAAGCCAAGUUACAGACGGGGAGAAAACGUAUCUGAAAAAGGCCUUGGGUCUAGAAUUUGUAAGGAACUCUCAAAACUCAGCAUUAAAAAAGACACCCCUUUUGCACCAUGUCUCAUGGCCAGUGGUCUGUGGACCACCUGACCUGGGAUCUUGGGGUGGGGCGUGACAGGGGAGGGCUUGGCAAAAGCAAGUUUCUGUGCCUCAGCCCAGAAAUUCUGAUUCUAUAGAUUUGGGUGGGGCCUGAGAAACCUGCGUUUAAAACAAACUCCUCAGGAGAAUGCUUUUCUUACUAAAACUUGAGAACUCCCACUUCCGUUCCUUCUAGCAAACUGUGAAGGCAGAACCGCAUCAGAAAGAAAACCAGCUGGGGCCGAGCCACUUGUGCCCGCGGAGGGCAGCCGAACAGGGACUGUUUAAAGACAGUCAGCAAACCAGAGGGUCAUGAACAAUCCCUGCAGAGAAGCGACCGCUCCCUAGUUGUACUGGGCUGUGAAGGAAAUGAGGACGUGCGCCCUCCCAGCCCCCCUGCCCCCGCUCACUCAGAGAGCAAGUGGAGAGAACUUGCUGUGAACGGAGAGAUUUGAAAAGACCAGCUCAGAGCCCUGCGCACGAGGGGCCUGGCGCCCCGGGGCGUGUUCACAGGGCUGCCAGGGCCCCGGGGAGACCCUGUUCUCUGCAGGCAGGGCAGGCACUUCGGCAACUCAGGGGACGCUCUUGCCCCACUGAACCCGUGUCCUUGAAGCCCGCGUGAGUGAGGCCUGAGGGACACCCACAGGCAGGGCCCCAGCUGUUGCCACCGAGCAAAGACCCGCCGUGGGGCCUCCGACAUCGCCUUCCCCCGCGGCCUUCCCGCCUCCUUGCACGUAAAUGUAAAUACGCACAUCUGGAAAUCAAGGAACCGCUCCUUCUCAGCAGUCCACCAAGUGGUCCGUGCCUCUGCCUCCAGCCCUCCACAGGAAGAAGAGGAGCGCCUAAGGGCGAGGCACCGUGACCAGUGCAGACACGGGUCGAAGCCGGGGCCUCUCAGCAGCCGGUGAGGAAGAUGGCCGUGACCACGUCCCAGGAAACGUGGACGGGGGCCAGCCUGGCAGAGGGGAUCCCUUAGUCACCACAUCCUCUCAAGCUGCCUUCUCAGCAGCACCCCCGUCGCCCCCACCCUGGCACUGGCCCCUCACCCACGCUUGAGGAUUACAGUCUCCUUCCAGGAUUUCCUGCCUCCAGCUCCCUUGCUUCCAGCUCGUCUUCCAGACGCUCCUUAUCUUCCGUGCCCUGCGUUUGCGUCUCCCCACCUCCCUGCUGUCGAAGGAGGGACACCCUGGACACUGUCUCCUUGAGUGCAGCCGGCAUUUCCCCGCAGCCGUCACACUGGCUCUUCCCUCCGCUCAGGACAUUUUCCACACGCCUCCGUUGUUCACUCCCUGACCUCCUUCGUGACUUUGCUCAAAUUUCACCUUUUCAAAAAGAAAGAAAAAAGAAAGAAAGCCUAUCCUAACCACCGUACUUAAAAUUUCAACCUGCCCACCUUCCCCCAGUGCUGACAACUUUGUCCAGCUUCCCCCGUUACCUCCUUGCAUCACAAAAGCAAGCACUGGCAGGCGGUUGUCUUGUAAGCUGCCGUCGGAUUGUAACUUGGUACGGCCACUUUGGAAAUCUCCAGCAGGUUUAAGGGGUCUCCACUAGAGCUAUAGAUUCACUGUGCUGUCCUGGGCGUAAACCCAGCAGGAAGGAGGGCUUCUCUCCACCAGAAGACCCGUUAGUCACGGUGUGGAAAGCAGCUCUGUUCAGAAUAUCUCCAAGCUAGAAGCAACCCAGUAUCUACCAACAGCACAAGGGACAAAUAAAUUGUGAUAGUUUCAAA